UCUAUAGAAAAGAUGAUCAUAGACGACAAUCUGAAGUUUUAGGAAAUAAUUAAACUUCCAUUGUCAGGAUUUUGGGAGCACAAUUGUUGUCUCAGUUAGAUUUCUUGUUAUUACUAACCACUAUAUAUAUUUUUUGUAUAAAUUCUGUUUGUGGUUUUUUUAUGAUUAGCAGAGUGGUGUUUCUUUUCUUUUUCAGAAUGGGUUCAUUGGGUCAUAGAAUGGUGGUCAACAUUAGUUGUUAACAGUUCUCAUCCAUCCAACGGAGAAAGUCCUGCAACUGCUACCUCCGAUCAAUCUGGGGACCUAUCGUUAGAUGUCAAAUCCAAUGUUGUACAGAAGAAGGACCGCAUACGAUUCAAUUUUUUGUCAUGGUCAGACUUGUCCAAUUGGAAAGCCCCUGCUGUAUUGCUAGUAUUCCCUUGCAUACCUUCUAAUUAUUGUUCAAGUUGCAUGCGUAUAUAUAUGUACAUAUAGGUUUCUCUCCUUUCAGUCGUAUACCUUCUAAUUAUUGUUCAAGAUGUGCGUGUGUUUAUUUCGUGCUUGCAUUCCUAUAUACAAAUGUUUGGGAUUUCUCCGCUGUACUUUUUCCUUUUAUAUGAAGGGAAGCUGUUGUUGCAAUGUGACCAGGAGGUCCAGGUUCAAGCCGUAGAAACAGUCCCUUGCAGAAAUGUAAGGUGAUGCUGUGUUAAACAGACCCUUAUGGUCCAGCCCUUCCCCGGACCCUACCCAUAGCGGGAGCUUUAGUGCACCGGGCUGCCCUUUUACAUUUUCUUUUAUAAAGUUAGACUACAGAUCGGAGUAAGCAACUAGGUAGGAUGACAAACUGUGAAGCUUCUUCGCACAUUUAGGGGGGAAGUAUUCAUGUGACAGUUCAUGAGGAAAAAUGUGUGCCAAUUCUCUUAUUUGAUAUACAAAUGCUUUUGAAUUUGCAUUUGUUUUGAUGGUUGGCGUCUAUGAUACUUCAUAUUGUCAGAGUUGGCAAGCAGCAAUUGCGAGAAGCCAGGAUAGUUGGACUCUGUUUGGGAACACUUGCUGAAGUGAGUGAUGAAACCAUUGAAUUGAUGGGGUACCUUUACACCGGCAUUGCAGUUCCUCUUCUCACCAAGAUUGCGGCUUUGAGGUCAUUUUCUCUAGAUAAAUAAGAGUAGUUUGGCAUACUUUCUGUCUAAGGAUACAAUUGAUCAUAUCAAUACUAUUGUAAAGCCUGCAGUUUAUCUCUCAAUGUUCUACUUCUUCAACAAUCCAAGAUCUUCAAUUUUGGAUAAUUAUCUCGUCUUACUUUGUGUCGUCUAUUGUGUUACUGGGAUAGCUUAUGCACUUGCCAUCUAACUUUGAACCUGGUCAAGCUCAACUGUGGUCGGUGUUGCUACCAGUUGUCUUGACCCUUGUAGCAAGCAAGACAGUGCGGUCACUGCGAUAGUAGGAGAUUAUAUCUAUUCAAAGUGGGCCUUGGAAGCAUUUAUAAUUGCAAAUGCUAAGAGGUACUCUGGGGUGUGGCUGAUCACAAGAUGUGGUGUACUAAGGAAAAAAGGCUUCGCGCUUGAUCAUUGGUGCCCUUGCUUACUAAAACUCAUCCUUCUUGGCGUUAUCAGUGGCUGCGUAGCAUUUUUGUUAUUGAUAACUUUCCAGAAAAAAUAAGUCUUCAUUGUUGCUGUCUUGCUUCAUCACUAGGUAUACAAGGAAGAAUGCCAUUUUACAGUCUCAAUACCAUGACGAAAAUGUUGGGAAGCCUCAAAAAGUUGGGUCCCUUGUGAAGAUUACUGUAUAUAACCUUGAUAUGAUUCUUGCAAAAAAUAUAAUUUACUCGAAA